rnacentral:misc_RNA from 1 species
GAUGAAGAACGUAGCGAAAUGCGAUAGGUAAUGUGAAUUGCAGAAUUCAGUGAAUCAUCGAAUCUUUGAACGCACAUUGCGCCCUUUGGUAUUCCUUAGGGCAUGCCUGUUCGAGCGUCAUUUCUGCCCUCCAGCCCGGCUGGGUGUUGGGCGCUGUCCCCCCGGGGACACGCCCCAAAGGCAGUGGCGGCGCCGCGUCGGGUCCUCGAGCGUAUGGGGCUUUGUCACCCGCUCGGGACGGACUCGUCGGCGCUGGUCUUCCUCCAGGCGACCCUUCGGGGCUCGUCUUCCUUCGGUUGACCUCGGAUCAGGUAGGGAUACCCGCUGAACUUAAGCAUAUCAAUAAGCGGAGGA